GGACUGUAGCUCAGUGGCAGAGCGCUUGCCUAGCCUGUGUGAGGCAUUGGGUUCAAUUCUCAGCACCA
rnacentral:tRNA from 1 species